GGGGACCUACGGGGCCCUAUCGAUCACAGACGGGGCGGCAACGUCCCGCGAAGCAGACGGAAGACAGAAA
rnacentral:ncRNA from 1 species